AUUGAACGCUGGCGGCAUGCUUUACACAUGCAAGUCGAACGGUAACAGGCCGCAAGGUGCUGACGAGUGGCGAACGGGUGAGUAAUGCAUCGGAACGUGCCCAGUCGUGGGGGAUAACGCAGCGAAAGCUGCGCUAAUACCGCAUACGAUCUAUGGAUGAAAGCGGGGGACCGUAAGGCCUCGCGCGAUUGGAGCGGCCGAUGUCAGAUUAGGUAGUUGGUGGGGUAAAGGCUCACCAAGCCAACGAUCUGUAGCUGGUCUGAGAGGACGACCAGCCACACUGGGACUGAGACACGGCCCAGACUCCUACGGGAGGCAGCAGUGGGGAAUUUUGGACAAUGGGCGCAAGCCUGAUCCAGCAGUGCCGCGUGCAGGAUGAAGGCCUUCGGGUUGUAAACUGCUUUUGUACGGAACGAAAAGCCCUGGGUUAAUACCCUGGAGUCAUGACGGUACCGUAAGAAUAAGCACCGGCUAACUACGUGCCAGCCGCCGCGGUAACAC
rnacentral:rRNA from 1 species